GGCAGCAAAUUAAAAGGACGAAUUUACAAGUCAUUCCUUCAUUUAAAUGGUUUGGGAUUUCUUUUGCGGACAUGUGAUUAAAAUAGUUGAAGAGUAGUUGGAAUGGCUCAGAACAAGCUAACCUAAGCAUCAUCAAUAAACACAAGGUUUGAAUCGUGAUUUGUUUCUAUGUGAUUUGUUUCUUUACAUUGGUGUUUGGAUUAAUUUGUGUAACUCUUGCAUCUAAAGAAGCCUGUUACGAGAGUUUUUUCACUGGUUUAUGUAGUUUAAAUUUAUGAAUAUUUCUUAUCCUCUGUGUGUCUUCUAUUUAAUUCAUGGACGGGUUAAAGGGAAGGCAAGUAUGAAUUGUGGGAGGAAAUCCUGUGCACUGUGAAGUUCCAACCUCCUUUUAUGUGCAGUCCUUUUGGUUUAGCCUUCUUCUGUGUUGUACCAUCUUCAAGCCGGGUAACAUUGACUCUUUUGCCACAAUUCUUUUCGACGACAUGGCUUUUUGUAUUGUUAGAUUAGAUUGAAAGUUUGUCUUUUUUUUAUUACAAUAAGCUUUCAGGGAUUAACCUUGGUUACAAAUUGUGGUAUCUCUUAAGAUUCCUUUU